CGAUCGGUAGCCGGACUGAGAGGUUGAACGGCCACAUUGGGACUGAGACACGGCCCAGACUCCUACGGGAGGCAGCAGUGGGGAAUAUUGCACAAUGGGGGAAACCCUGAUGCAGCGACGCCGCGUGGAGGAAGAAGGUCUUCGGAUUGUAAACUCCUGUUGUUGAGGAAGAUAAUGACGGUACUCAACAAGGAAGUGACGGCUAACUACGUGCCAGCAGCCGCGGUAAAACGUAGGUCACAAGCGUUGUCCGGAAUUACUGGGUGUAAAGGGAGCGCAGGCGGGAAGACAAGUUGGAAGUGAAAUCCAUGGGCUCAACCCACGAACUGCUUUCAAAACUGUUUUUCUUGAGUAGUGCAGAGGUAGGCGGAAUUCCCGGUGUAGCGGUGGAAUGCGUAGAUAUCGGGAGGAACACCAGUGGCGAAGGCGGCCUACUGGGCACCAACUGACGCUGAGGCUCGAAAGUGUGGGUAGCAAACAGGAUUAGAUACCCUGGUAGUCCACACCGUAAACGAUGAUUACUAGGUGUUGGAGGAUUGACCCCUUCAGUGCCGCAGUUAACACAAUAAGUAAUCCACCUGGGGAGUACGACCGCAAGGUUGAAACUCAAAGGAAUUGACGGGGGCCCGCACAAGCAGUGGAGUAUGUGGUUUAAUUCGACGCAACGCGAAGAACCUUACCAAGUCUUGACAUCCUGCGACGAUGCUGGAAACAGUAUUUUCCUUCGGGACGCAGAGACAGGUGGUGCAUGGUUGUCGUCAGCUCGUGUCGUGAGAUGUUGGGUUAAGUCCCGCAACGAGCGCAACCCUUAUGGUCAGUUACUACGCAAGAGGACUCUGGCCAGACUGCCGUUGACAAAACGGAGGAAGGUGGGGAUGACGUCAAAUCAUCAUGCCCUUUAUGACUUGGGCUACACACGUACUACAAUGGCGUUAAACAAAGAGAAGCAAGACCGCGAGGUGGAGCAAAACUCAGAAACAACGUCCCAGUUCGGACUGCAGGCUGCAACUCGCCUGCACGAAGUCGGAAUUGCUAGUAAUCGUGGAUCAGCAUGCCACGGUGAAUACGUUCCCGGGCCUUGUACACACCGCCCGUCACACCAUGAGAGCCGGGGGGACCCGAAGUCGGUAGUCUAACCGCAAGGAGGACGCCGCCGAAGGUAAAACUGGUGAUUGGGGUGAAGUCGAAACAAGGUAGCCGUAGGAGAACCUGCGGCUG
rnacentral:rRNA from 1 species